rnacentral:rRNA from 1 species
AUUGAACGCUGGCGGAAUGCUUUACACAUGCAAGUCGAACGGCAGCACGGACUUCGGUCUGGUGGCGAGUGGCGAACGGGUGAGUAAUGUAUCGGAACGUGCCCAGUCGUGGGGGAUAACGUAGUGAAAAUUACGCUAAUACCGCAUACGAUCUAUGGAUGAAAGCGGGGGACCGUAAGGCCUCGCGCGAUUGGAGCGGCCGAUGUCAGAUUAGGUAGUUGGUGGGGUAAAGGCUCACCAAGCCAACGAUCUGUAGCUGGUCUGAGAGGACGACCAGCCACACUGGGACUGAGACACGGCCCAGACUCCUACGGGAGGCAGCAGUGGGGAAUUUUGGACAAUGGGCGCAAGCCUGAUCCAGCAAUGCCGCGUGCAGGAAGAAGGCCUUCGGGUUGUAAACUGCUUUUGUACGGAGCGAAAAGGCUCUCUCUAAUACAGGGGGCUCAUGACGGUACCGUAAGAAUAAGCACCGGCUAACUACGUGCCAGCAGCCGCAGUAA